UGGCUCAGUUGGUGGAGCGUGGUGUUUGCAACGCCAGGGUUGUGGGUUCGAUUCCCAC
rnacentral:tRNA from 1 species